AUUUUGGUCAACCCUAACACAACUGCAGUCAUUUUCCUCGUAUCUAUAUCUGUAACUCCGCCGGCGAACACCGCCAUGGCCAAUCCAACCCAAAAAUCAACACCCAUCGCUGCUCCUUCUUCCCUUUACUACAAUCUGCCUGAAAAUGGCACACACACAUAGAUAGAAAAGCGGACUAAGAAGUCGAGGUUCACGGUUCUGGUUUGAUUGUUGUUAUCUUGUUCGUUUUUUGUCGCACUUCCAAAUUUUGACGCCGAUCUGCCUGUAUUUGUUCCUGAAUAUAUUAAAUCGAAAGUUGCUCGCAUUCAAGUUCAUAUCCUUGCUCUUUCUCUUAUUUUACUACCGUACUGGUUAAACAUGAAUUCGAGGUGCUGGUUUUUCUUAAGUUGCUGCUUAUAUUCUGAUUUAUUUUGAUCGCAGCUGGAAUGUCGUGAGGCCGUUAAAGUGCGUUUUGAGUAAUAUAAGUGAUUGAUAUGCUUCAUUCUACUCUUUUUUCGUUCAUGGAUUUAUUGAGAAUUGUUACGUUAGGUUUCAGUAAGUAUUCUGUUUGUGUCAUUCAAGGAAGGCUAAUCCUAUCUUUCUAGGAUCAGAUUGUAACAUUAUCCCUAUUUUCUUAAAGCUCUCGCUCGUAUUCCUUCAAAUUUAAGCAUGUAAUUAGUAUGUUUCCCAAAAAUGAUUUCUAUAUUUCUGUUGGGUUUGAGCAUGGAAGGAAUCUAUUUAUUUGAAUUCAAAUGCAAUGUAAUGAAUCCCAUGGUUUUGAUUAAACAGACUAGUUUGUUAGUCUCAUCUCCUAGUUAGGCAAUAUUAUACUUAAAUAUUCUUUCAAGUUUGGGUCAUAUAUUGAACUCAUUUGAUUUUCCUCGUUCUCUGUAUUUCAUGCGUACAUGAUACAUAUCUUAUGGAGUCAGUGAGUUGAAUUCGUUUGUUCAUGUGCUUAUUAUGUUACGAUGUUUGUUUGUUCUGAUUACCGUAAUUAUGAGUACGGUUCCCGUGGCAUGGUUACGGUACAUGAAUCUCAAUUCGGUGAUG
rnacentral:lncRNA from 1 species